AUUGAACGCUGGCGGCAGGCCUAACACAUGCAAGUCGAGCGGAUGAAGGGAGCUUGCUCCUGGAUUCAGCGGCGGACGGGCGAGUAACGCCUAGGAAUCUGCCUGGUAGUGGGGGAUAACGUCCGGAAACGGGCGCUAAUACCGCAUACGUCCUGAGGGAGAAAGUGGGGGAUCUUCGGACCUCACGCUAUCAGAUGAGCCUAGGUCGGAUUAGCUAGUUGGUGGGGUAAAGGCCUACCAAGGCGACGAUCCGUAACUGGUCUGAGAGGAUGAUCAGUCACACUGGAACUGAGACACGGUCCAGACUCCUACGGGAGGCAGCAGUGGGGAAUAUUGGACAAUGGGCGAAAGCCUGAUCCAGCCAUGCCGCGUGUGUGAAGAAGGUCUUCGGAUUGUAAAGCACUUUAAGUUGGGAGGAAGGGCAGUAAGUUAAUACCUUGCUGUUUUGACGUUACCAACAGAAUAAGCACCGGCUAACUUCGUG
rnacentral:rRNA from 1 species